rnacentral:rRNA from 1 species
AUUGAACGCUGGCGGCAGGCCUAACACAUGCAAGUCGAACGGUAACAGGAAGCAGCUUGCUGCUUCGCUGACGAGUGGCGGACGGGUGAGUAAUGUCUGGGAAACUGCCUGAUGGAGGGGGAUAACUACUGGAAACGGUAGCUAAUACCGCAUAACGUCGCAAGCCCAAAGAGGGGGACCUUAGGGCCUCUUGCCAUCGGAUGUGCCCAGAUGGGAUUAGCUAGUAGGUGGGGUAACGGCUCACCUAGGCGACGAUCCCUAGCUGGUCUGAGAGGAUGACCAGCCACACUGGAGCGGAGACACGGUCCAGACUCCUACGGGAGGCAGCAGUGGGGAAUAGUGCACAAUGGGCGCAAGCCUGAUGCAGCCAUGCCGCGUGUAUGAAGAAGGCCUUCGGGUUGUAAAGUACCUUCAGCGGGGAGGAAGGGAGUAAAGUUAAUACCUUGGCUCAUUGACGUUACCCGCAGAAGAAGCACCGGCUAACUCCGUG